rnacentral:lncRNA from 1 species
UGUGUGUCGUGUAUGGAGAAAGAGAUAGAAGAGAAACCCUCUCUCAAGAACAUGUAUACAAUUCAGCCAAAUCAAGACCAAAACUGAAGGAAAAACAUUGCAUUAAUGGAGAUUUCUCACCCUCUAGCUCAUAUAAACAUGUGGAAGGGAAUCAUAUCAAUUAACUCAAGCACAGAGGGCUAACGGGUCGAGAUGAGGCAAGGAAGUAAGCUCUAAUACACACGCUUAUGGGAAUUAAUUUGGAUCUGGAAAGUGAUGCAUGAUUAGCUGCGUACUAAAUAAGGAUGUCAUCCGGAGUCGUAGGUUUGGGAAGUGUAACUCUUUCCUGGACGAGUUGCAUGUCUCAAAUCCUUGUGUUGUUGGUAGCCUUUUGUCGAGUCUUAUGAACUCAUUUUAAACAAGUCAUGUCUUGUAACGCAUUUUGUGGUUGAUGUUUUAAGACGAUAUGUUAUGCAUUUUCUAAACUACUUUAAAUGGAUGAACAUCUUACGUUUUUAUC